rnacentral:lncRNA from 1 species
GAGCAAGCCUCGGUCUCCCAAAAAAAAAAAAAAAAAGAAAGAUACAUUGAAGUAAUUUAAAAACACUUAGGAAGAUGUCAUUUCUUCCUAUCAAGGCGUCCUCCCUUUAUGUUUUGUUGUUAUAUUGGGAACGAUAAAAAAAAUUUUUUUUUCAACCCAUGUGGACCAGGUUGGCCUCGAACUCGUGCCCUCGAACCCUCGCCUCUCUGAGGGUCCGAGGGCCCGCGCAACCGGCCGGAGCCACAAUGGCUCCGGGUGUCGGGGCUGACCUUUAGGCCCUUUGAUCUUACGCAGGGUGAGGGAGCCAAUCACCAGAGGCUCACCCCUGACGUCACCCAGUCCCCAGGGCCAGUGAGGGCCCUGCG